GCCUCAGUGGUCUAGUAGUAUGAUUCGCCCUUCGGGAUUUUCCCGUAAGCUGAUUACAUAAUCAAGCGCUUACGUAAUUGGGUGAGGUCCUGGGUUCAAUUCCCAGCUGGGGCC
rnacentral:tRNA from 1 species